AUAUCUAAGGUGGUGACUGGACAGGGUACCACUAGGUCAAGGGAGCUGAGUAUAGUGAAUGUUCAGGAAGGUUAAUCCGUGGCUCCAAGUAAGAGGCUGAGGCUAGGGAUCUGUUCCCAAACAAGGUUUAAAGGCCUUGGGUAUAGUGAGUCCAAUGGAAACAUUGGUUGGGCUUGUUGUGAUCUGCUUACACCAGCCUGUGGCAACGGUAAUAAUGGAUUUUGAGCCAAGGAAACAUUAA
rnacentral:lncRNA from 1 species